rnacentral:rRNA from 1 species
UACGUAGGGUGCAAGCGUUGUCCGGAAUUAUUGGGCGUAAAGAGCUUGUAGGCGGUUUGUCGCGUCUGCUGUGAAAUUUCGGGGCUCAACCCCGAACUUGCAGUGGGUACGGGCAGACUAGAGUGUGGUAGGGGGAGACUGGAAUUCCUGGUGUAGCGGUGAAAUGCGCAGAUAUCAGGAGGAGCACCGAUGGCGAAGGCAGGUCUCUGGGGCCAUAACUGACGCUGAGAAGCGAAAAGCAUGGGGGAGCGAACAGG